UCUUGAAAUCUUCUAGCAAAUGCUUCAUUGACCUUAGCUACCUCAUCAGUGCCAACACUUCUCAAAGAUGGAAACAGAGUGGUGUUAAUCUCUGUCUCUCCAAAAGAAGUGUUACUGUACCAACCAUCAAAAGACAAAGUUCCAGCAAAAGCAAAAACAACAUCAGUAGACCGAUCUAUUUUCUUGUAAAUAUAAGGUAUCCCAGGUGAUAAUUUGUGAGCUUCCAUGGCUAAGUUACAAGCUUUCUUGAUUAGCUCUUCUCUGACUUCAAAUUCCUUCUUCCAAAUUUUUCACCAUUUUUUGCUUCUUAGCUGCUUAAAGAUUGCAACUUUACUGUUUAGUUUUCAAAAAUCUUUGAAGAAAGAUUGAGGAUGGAGAGAUGGAAUGAAGGUAAAGGGGAAAUGGGUAUUUAAGCUUUUGGUGAUUGGAUGAAAUGUAGAGGAAAUGAGUCAUUGACUUUUGAAGUCUUUGUUUUGCUUUGCUUGACUCUUGCCUGUGGAAAUUGAAUAGGAAGAUAAAUAGUAUCUAUCAAGGAAAUUUCCUACUAAUUGUUCUGCAAAAUGGUUAAUGUACGGACUCUUCAAAAAUGUUAUUUUUAUAGAAAUGAUUACUGUGGAAGGAUUUGAUAUGCACUCGCUUUUUAUUUGUCGUGAAUUCCCCUUUAUGUCUUCCAUAAGAACAAGAGGGAUGGGCUCUCCGCCAACACUUUUCAUAUACUUGUCGACAUUUUUAAAAGUUUGAACGACAUUGUAUAUUUUACUUUUAUUUUUGUUCUAGCUUGUUUCAAAAAAAUAUAUCAUAUUUCUAUUUUACUUUUUAAAAUAGUACUCCCUCCGUUUCACAAAGAAUGACCUUCUUUCCUUUUUAGUCAGUUUCAAAAAAAUGACCUCUUUCCUUUUUUGGUAACAUUUUACUUUUUGCUUUCCACGUGACAUGUUUAAGACCACAAGAUUAAGGACAAUUUUGUACAUUUAACAUAACUUUAAUUUAGGACCACAAGAUUCAAAAAUCUUCUUUAAUUUCUUAAACUUCAUGCCAAGUCAAACCAGACCAAUCUUUUUGAAACGGAGGGAGUACUUUAAUAUAAGCUAAUAUGUAAUGUUUAAGAAUACAAAUACUUUUAUUUUGUUAUGCACGUAUUUAAUUUAAGAGAACAAAAUUAAAAGAAUCUUUUUCUUUAUAUUCUACUCCCUCUGUCCCAUUUUAUGUGAGAUAGUUUGACUCGGCACGAAGUUUAAGAAAGAAAUGAAGACUUCUAAAAUUUGUGGUCCAAAAUGAAUGAUAGAAAUUUGUGUGGUUGAAGAAAGAUUGAGGAUGGAGAGAUGGAAUGAAGGUAAAGGGGAAAUGGGUAUUUAAGCUUUUGGUGAUUGGAUGAAAUGUAGAGGAAAUGAGUCUUUCAUAAGAGCAAGAGGGGUGGGCUCUCUACUAACACUUUUCAUAUAUUUGUCGACAUUUUUGAAAAGUCAUUUAAAAUGAAAUAGUAUAUUUUACUUUUAUUUUUGUUCUAGUUUGUUUCAAAAAAAUAUAUCAUAUUUCUAUUUUACUUUUAAUAAUAGUACUUUAAUAUAAGAUAAUAUGAUAUGUUUAAGAAUAUAGGUAUUUUUAUUUUGUUACACACGUAUUUAAUUUAAGAUAACAAAAUUAGAAGAAUUUUUUUCUUUAUAUUCUAAUUUUUAUGCACAUUACACAUCAAAUGCGACCGACACAUGGAAAGUGAAAAGGGGGGAGCAUAUUGGUGCUAUUAUAUUCUUUCUCUUGAUUAUAUAUUUUGAAAAGUUGGUACUUUCUUUGUUUUUUCUUUAAAAAAAUUUAUAAGAAAUAAAGGUUGGGAAGUUAGACAAGGCAACUCGUUUUGAAGAAAAAUAAAAUUUUGGGAAUGACAAUCAAAAUAUCUCGUGUUCACCUUGGAUCCAAAGAAGGGCCUAACCCGAGAUACAAAUAGAAUAGAAAAGCUACUUUGUUAUUGUCUCUAUUUGAUUAAGGUUUAUUAAAACUGUUUAGUGAUUAACGAGCAAAACAAACAAUUCUAAUAGACUAGAGUUUAGUUUUGCACAUUAUUAAAACUGCUUUAUGGACAAACUCCCUUUCACUAGUUCCUUGAAGGUGACUUGUAAAAAGCCCAUGGUUCAGCAGAAGUAUACUCUGUCACCUGCUUAAUGUUCAAGAAACUUUCAAGACCCCUGCAUCAAUGCACAAACGAUUAUCACUUAUCAGUCCGAUCAGAUCAGAUCAGAGGUAUCAAGUUUGUGCAUUGAAAAAUGAUACAUAGCUACUUAUCUGGCUGCUCUUAUUAGGGGCAUUGGAAUAUACGUGGUGGAAUGUUAUAGGUGUCUGUAAGUUGGCUCGGAUACCAUCUUUAUCAAGAUAUUAAGGCGCAAGGCGCUAAGGAGUUAUUUUCCUUGAUACCCAAGAUGUCUGUUUGUGCUGAGUAGGGAGUGUUUUCCACCAUUUGGUAUAGGUAGAUUCAGGGAAGAAAACAUCAUCGCCAAGAAGGCUACUCUGGAUCCAGCCAUUUGCAGCUGUUUCUAAACUCAGAAUCUUGUCUUGCACUUGUGCAAAUGGCUUGUUUCUUAGUUCCUCCACUUCUGCCCAGAAACAAGACUCGGAACGUGCACCAGCAUGCACUUUAUCAAAAUGCUCUAACCAUCUCUGUGUGAACCGAUAACGCUUAGGCCUACCCCUGAUCAAGUAAGGUCCACUAUCUUCAUUCUUCAAGUGCCUGUAAUAGUUUGCAAUAUCUAAGGGCUCAACUUGCCUGCGAAACUGUGUCCCUAGUUCUAUCCAGUCUUUUUGUCCCUCGAAGCUAUCUGGGAGCUCAUACCUUUUCAACAUUUCAAUGAUCUCAUUCCAUAUACCUGCUAGCUCAUGCCUUUUCACAUUAGCAUUGAAGUCAUCAUCAGUGUUUUGAAUCUUGAAUGCAUCAUAAUACCCAACUUUAUGGAUAUCACACUUGGUCUGGUACUCCUGUAUCUUGCUUAAUGCGUCCCUGAUGCUUCUCUUAUUUUGUUCAAUCUUUUCCUCGUUCUUCUUCUUCUGCUUCUCCCACUCUCCUGCUGCACGAAGACACAGCCUUGCUCUUGUGCUCUGAGAUUUAGAUAACGUGAAAACGCCUAUUAGCUUGAGCAAGAUAGACAAUUCUGUUGAAAAUGAAAAUUAACCAUAUCUAUUGCUUACCAGGCCAAGGUCAUUCAGUGCUGAAUUCAUACUUGCAACUUCAUCGCUUGGAUCAACAUUUGAAGAUAAAGGAAUAUCAGUAAGAUUGUUGAGAUGAAUGACAUCUUGCAUCUCUAAGCUAUCUUGCAUUUCGUUUGUAUACAACAGGUGAUCGUUUAAACUUCUAGCAACGACUACUACAGCUUCUGCUUCGGAACUCAAUUGAGAGGAAUAGAACAGUAACUGCAGAACAGCAUCAGGGUUCUCAACGACAACCAGUUUCCUAUUCCCAGUGCAGAAGAUGUAAGUUCCAAAGGGUAUAUAAGGGCUGAGUUGAACAAUGUUGGAAACAGUUUCCAAGAGCAAGUUUGUGCAUCCCUUCAGAUUACAUGCAGCAUAGCUUGCAACAGAGGAUGCAUUCCUCAUUACAGUCAUAAAGAAAUUCAAUGCAUUACUUGAUCGUGCAACAGCAUCGCGCUGAGAAUACUGGGACUUCGGAUUGAUGAAGGGAGAGAUUGCUUGAAGCAAUUCUUGAAUUGAUGAAAGAGGAGCAAGCAUCAUCCUGGGGACAAUGUCGUACUUCAUGACAAAAUGUAUGAAGUAACGAGCCCAGUUUUCGCGCCUGAGGGCAUGAGACCAUAUCUUGUUGCCAACAAGAGGGGAUCCAAAAGUCAUACAGUAUAGAUGGACUAACAUGUCACCUUCUGGUCUUGUGCGGCAACAUUCCAGACACCAGAGAGCUGCCAGAAUAGCUAUAGCACCACCGGACGAGUGCCCUGCAAACACUACUUGUCUUCCUUUUGACAUUGCCUUCUCCACCUAAAACCAACACAACUCCAUGAAUCAACAUUCACUUUCCAAAUCAAAGAUGAAGGUAUGAAGCUUAAUUUCCAUUAACCUAGUCUACACUCUACAGAGGCAUUAUCAUGAUAGAAUCUAUGAUAGGAAUCAGUACUCUAUUUAGACUUGGAACAUAUUGCUGACAUGAUAACUAAUACUCCCUUCUUUGCAAUUUAAGUGUCUUACUAUCUUUUUUGGUCUGUUCCAAAAAAGAGUCUCUUUUUAUAUCUUGUAAGUUUUCCAAUCCCAACACUCUACAAGGAGUUAAAGACCAAAAGAUUUAUAGGACUACACACAUAUUUAAAAGUCUCCCUUUAUUUCUUAAACCCCGUGUCUAGUCAAACUAUGACACUAAAAUUGGGACGGAGGGAAUAAAUAAACCACUAGACGGAAUCAAGUUGAUCAAACUGAACUAUCAGGAAUAGAACUUCCAAUGCUCUUGAAAAAAAAUUGAAUCAAAAAGAAAAAAUUCUUUGUCUAAAGACUUGCACAGAAUUUGAUUCUUCAACUGGUGUACACUCAAGUUGUAAAAAACAUUUAUCUAUAGGUUAUACUAAUAUUAAACACUACAGUUUUUUCGUGUCAAGUCAAAAUCAAGACAAACAAAUUGAAACGAAAGGAGUUUUAAGAAAGAACAAGAUGAUUGAACCCCAGUAUGUAUACCUCAUUUUUAAGUGAAGAUUUGUCCAGUAUGUCUUGAAAUCUUCUAGCAAAUGCUUCAUUGACCUUAGCUACCUCAUCAGUGCCAACACUUCUCAAAGAUGGAAACAGAGUGGUGUUAAUCUCUGUCUCUCCAAAAGAAGUGUUACUGUACCAACCAUCAAAAGACAAAGUUCCAGCAAAAGCAAUAACAACAUCAGUAGACCCAUUUAUUUUCUUGUAAAUAUAAGGUUUCUCAGGUGAUAAAUUGUGAGCUUCCAUGGCUAAGUUACAAGCUUUCUUGAUUAGCUCUUCUCUGACUUCAAUUCCUUCUCCAAUUUUUCACCAUUUUUUGCUUCUUAGCUGCUUAAAGAUUGCAACUUUACUGUUAGUUUCAAAACCUUGAAGAAAGAUUGAGGAUGGAGAGAUGGAAUGAAGGUAAGGGGAAAUGGGUAUUUAAGCUUUUGGUGAUUGGAUGAAAUGUAGAGGAAAUGAGUCAUUGACUUUUGGAGUCUUUGUAUAGCUUUGCUUGACUCUUGCCUGUGGAAAUUGUAUAGGAAGAUAAAUGGGAGUAUGUAUCAAGGAAAUUUCCUACUAAUUGUUCUGCAAAAUGGUUAUUGUACGGACUCAUAUUAAUUUUAUAGAAAUGAUUAUUUUUGAAGGAUUUGAUAUGCAUUCGCUUUUCAUUCGUCGUAAAUUCCCUUUUACGUCUUUCAUAAGAGCAAGAGGGGUGGGUACUCUACUAACACUUCACUUUUCAUAUAUUUGUCGACAUUUUUGAAAAGUUAUUUAAAAUGAAAUAGUAUAUUUUACUUUUAUUUUUGUUCUAGUUUGUUUCAAAAAAAUAUAUCAUAUUUCUAUUUUACUUUUAAUAAUAGUACUUUAAUAUAAGAUAAUAUGAUAUGUUUAAGAAUAUAGGUAUUUUUAUUUUGUUACACACGUAUUUAAUUUAAGAUAACAAAAUUAGAAGAAUUUUUUUCUUUAUAUUCUAAUUUUUAUGCACAUUACACAUCAAAUGCGACCGACACAUGGAAAGUGAAAAGGGGGGAGUAUAUUGGUGCUAUUAUAUUCUUUCUCUUGAUUAUUUUGAAAAGUGGGUACCCACUGAAGGACAACUUGGUGGUUGGUACUUUCUUUGUUUUUUCUUUAAUUUUUUUAUAAGAAAUAAAGGCUGGGAAGUUAGAAAAGGCAACUCGUUUUGAAGAAAAAUAAAAUUUUGGGUAUGACAAAUAAAAUAUUUCGUGUUCACACUGGAUCCAAAGAAGGGCCUAACCCGAGAUACAAAUAGAAUAGAAAAGCUACUUUGAUAUUGUCUCUAUUCGAUUAAGGUUUAUUAAAAUUGUUUAUUGAUUAACGAGCAAAACAAACAAUUCUAAUAGACUAGAGUUUAGUUUGCACAUUAUUAAAAUUGCUUUAUGGACAAACUCCCUUUCACUAGUUCCUUGAAGGUGACUUGUAAAAAGCCCAUGGUUCAGCAGAAGUAUACUCUGUCACCUGCUUAAUGUUCAAGAAACUUUCAAGACCCCUGCAUCAAUGCACAAACGAUUAUCACUUAUCAGUCCGAUCAGAUCAGAUCAGAUCAGAGGUCUCAAGUUCGUGCAUUGAAAAUGAAACAGUUUUUUGGUAAAGAACAUUUUUCACUUUAUUAGAUCUUAUACAAUGUGAGUUCAGAUUAGUGAGUGCUUACCAUUCCCCUAGAUCACGUCCAAAACCACUACGCUUUUUACCACCCCAUGGAAGCUGAUUAAAGGUUGGCUGUGAACAGUUAAUCCAGAUGAUCCCUGUCUGAAAUGCCUGCAAAUUAAAUUCCAGCUAAUUAACAACAGGUCAAUCGCCUUCUGAUAUUGAUUUAUAAAGGAAUUGAUUGUAGCAAAUGUGAAAUACUAGCUCCCACCUUUGUAAACCUCUCACACCUUUUAACAUCUUUUGACAUAACAGCAGCAGCCAAACCAUACCUAUGAAAAAAGGAGGAAAAAAUCAACAACAAACAACUAAAGUUUGCUCUAUUUUCUAUUGGCAUAUAAAUCUCUGAGAGAACUAUACUCCUAGAAAACAGUGGAUCCAAAGAAAACAUACCUAAAACUUAGUUCCAACUAACUAAAAAGGUAAAAAUGGAAGAACAAAAAAACAUGGUUAACAUCAGUCUGAAUAGGCAACUCACUUGGUGUCAUUUGCUAGUUCAAUGGCUUCCUCUUCAGUUUUGAAUGUUUUGACACAAAGAACAGGUCCGAAUACUUCCUCUUUCCAGAUUUCCAUUGAGGUAUUAACAUCAGUAAUAAUAGUUGGCUGAACAUAAUAUCCUUUCUUCAAAUGCUGCAAUUCAAUUGUGAUGACUUCAGUUGUUUUACAAAAGAUUGACAAACAAACUAAAGCAUCUGCAGGCUUUUGCUAAAAAGGAUUUUUUUUACCUGAGGCCGUUUGCCACCAUAAAGAAUGGUUGCACCUUCACUUUUGGCAUUUGAGAUAAACUUCAAUACCUUCUCAUACUGCACGUUAACAAAAAUUAGUACAUAGAUAUUGUCUACAAAUUGUGUGACCACUCCAUCUACAAGAUCCGCUAGAAAAUAACAAACCAAAAGCAGUGUCAUCUAAUGAGUUACUGUGUCAACUCAGUAUUAAACAUCUACGUUUUGUUUAUGAAGCACUUUAUAGUUAGAGAACCACAUAUCCUAUUUUACAUGCGAUUUCUUACUUGUCCAGCACUGACGACAGGACCAAGCUUGCAGUCUUCUUCCAAAGGAUCGGAGAUUUUGAUGUUUUUGGUCCACUUAAGCAGCCUGUCCAAAAAUGCAGAAGCAAUGCUUUCCUGGAAUAUUCAGAAUUUGAUUUUAAGAAAAGUAUCAACAUGGUAGAUAACAGAAAGGAAAAUACCACAAAAGAAUACAUCAAAAAGACCGGGAAAUGCUACAGUUUUUGUAAGUUAGAACUAAUGUAAUCAGCAUUCACGUCUGGCCUUGAUAUGCUAUGUAUAGUAAAACCUCUACUAGAUCAUAUUUUUCUUGGGAAGGCCACAUCCCAUCUCAUAUACUCAUAUUUGCUACACCUUUUUACUAUUUACUGAAUUCUAGUAUGUAAUUUGAUACUACUCUCCAUGCAAUUUCUAACUUUAUAAAGUUUUUUUCAUUAGAUAAAUCAAUUGAUAUCCAAUUUUAUUUUUUUUAAAUUGCACCCUACCAAUCCACAUCAGCUCACGUUUAGGAAAUAAAUUUAUCUUUCCCACCCUGAACAAUUUUUGUUCAUAAGAAAACAAAGUAAAUGAACUGGAGUCCCAAAUUUUUCCAAGAAAUAGGCAGGUAAGACAGUGUCACACAAUUUGAAUCUUUGAGUGGCAAUUUUGGUGAUCUUCUCUCAGGCAUAACCCUCUCUCACAAAGUGUUAAAGAGUUGAACUUCACAUUCCUAUUACACUGCCAAGCACGAUAUGACUUGACGAACAUACACACACUGACACACAGAGGUGUUCCGAGAGGUACUUCCUAGAUAAUUUGUAAAUAGUACCAAUCCAGGACCGAGUUAACCAAAGGAGAACACUGUGACUAAAUAUAUGGACCUCAUCCACUUUUACACUUGUUACCUGUACUAUAAGCCGUGAUGUUGCACUACAAACUUGACCAGUAUUCGCAAAGAUACCAAAAAGAGUCCACUCAGCAGCUGCAUUAGACAACGAAGAACAUAGGAUCAAUAACCAAGAUUAUAUUCCUAAACAAAAGGGUGAAGUUAACUUCUUAACCAAAUGGUCGUGUGUACAAUUUAAAAAGAACAAACCUAUAUCAAGGUUAUCGAUGUCGUCAAACACAACUAUUGGACUUUUUCCACCAAGCUCAAGACUAACUGGCUGCAAAUGAAACAUAAGGGCUUAGCAAUAAUUAAUCCACCCGCACGCCAGCAAGUUAUUUUUCCAGUUAGAACCUAAAAGAUUACUUAUUUACGACAAAGCGUACUUUAACAAGUUGAGCUGCAGCAGUCAUGAUCUUAGAUCCUGUAGGUCCACUUCCUGUAAAUGAAAUCUGUCACCAAAAAUUUUAAAAAUCAUUUCAACAUAUUUUAUGUGAGAUUCGAUAAAUAUACAAAAGACAAACUCGAAAAGGAAACAGGCAAACCUUGUCCACAUGAGGAUGAGAUGCCAAAGGACCACCAGCUUCAGGCCCUAAUCCUGUUAAAAUGUUAAGGGCACCAGAAGGAAGACCAAUCUCUCUACAGAUCUCACCCAACUCCAAACAGGUACUACAAUUGAAUGUCAGAAUCAUUUAAUUAACGAAGCAAAUGAUGCGGAUCAAGGAUAUAGAUACUGAAGAUGAUAUGCUACAAGGACUCACACUGAUGCUAGUUCAGACGGCUUAAGUAUUGCUGCACAACCAGCAGCCAGAGCAGGGGCAACUUUCCAUAUGGCCAUUAACAAUGGAUAAUUCCUUCAUUAUGAAAACAAAAGGAUCAUUGACUUGAAAAAGUAUACUUGAAUGUCAUUCUCAUUGUUCAUUUAUUAGGAUUAUGGUCCAACUUUUCCAAUGAAAUAUAUUGUUGAACUAGGAGACAACUAGGUUAACUGAAUAUUCUUCAUUUUCGCCAUAUUUCAACAUUUUAAGAACUAACCAGACCACCUCAGAUAAAGUAUAAUGACUUACUUUUAGCUUGUCAAUGAUACGAAAACAACCAGUGGAUAUAUAAAUGUACAGAAAACAUUAGUUAAAUGCAGAAGUUCCACCACAAACAUCUGCCUGAUCAAUAUGUGGUUUGUAAAACUAAAAAAACCGUAAUAACUCUGAAAAAUGGCACCUACCAUGGAGUUAUCAAUCCCACAACACCAAGAGGUUCUCUAAGAACAUAAGUUUUAAAUGAAUCCGAAUUAAGAUUGACAGGAGUCUUCCUUCUCGAAUCCAAAGCUUCAGCGAGGUCUGCAUAGUACUCAAAACAUCCUGCGACAUCAUCCUGAAAUAUAAGACAGCACAUAGAAUAAGUUUGUGUACAUCAAGUUGAAGCAAACUAUAUAUUUAUCUCAUUUAUGCAAGAAAGUACCAUAUCUGCAGCAGACUCAAACAAUGUUUUUCCACUAUCAAGGGAUUCAAGUGUUGCAAGUACGGAUUUCUUCUCCAGUACCUAUGAAAAAAAUAAGCUAAAACAGUUAGCAAAUGAAUCAUUUAAAGAAAAGCAGAAUAGUCAAUUAGUUCUGAAGAAUGUCCCAAUAUCUUGCCAACACCAUGCAAUAUAUACAGCAGCUCACUAGUAUCCAAGAACAUAAUCUACUUGAGUGGAAAUUUCCUGUUUUUCUCAAAGUAGUAAGGUAGAUGCCCCUAAAAUGACUCCUCCGCGACAUCUACAGCUGCACAGUUUUUCAGGCAUCUAUAGUGGAUAAAAUUUGUGCUUAGGACAAUCUAAAAGGCGCUCACAGCUUGGAGGAAUCACAAAUGUAAUAUUACAUAUACACUAAACCUAUUACUAUGCUUUAAUCUCAAAUCAAAUCGUUUACGUUCAUUUCACUCCAGUUGGAGACUUGUUUCACUCCAAUACUGAAUAGUUUAUCUAUAAAAAAGAAAAUUGAGUUUUAUGUACGUAGUAGACUUGGCAUUCUCAGAGCUAGCUAUCCUUCAACGGAGAAAGAUUUAAUUAUCUGUCGACACACUAGCAGUACUUAGAGACAAUCAACUAGCUUUUACGCCUAAAAGUUUCACUACACCUGAGUUCAAUCCUUCAAGGACAGAAGGAACCGCGAUCUCGAUGUAACUCAGAGAAUACAGUUCCUAAAUCCUGUAUAAUUUGAGCUCACACUGUUCCGAACUCAUACAUAAUUACGAAAUUAGCAUUGAAAUAUAGAUAAUUUUUCUGCUUCUGGACUAGUAACUGCCUUCAUCCAGAUUCCAGGGUUCUAAUAAAAUUCCUGAAAAAAAUCAUGAAUAUGUAAAAUUAAGAUGCCAAUGCAGAACAGUACACAACCUUAGCAGCAAUAGCACGGAGAUAUUUUGCGCGUUGUGCCCCUGUUGUAGAACCCCAGUCAUCCCUAGCAAUCGCUUUCCGUGCUGCUUCCACAGCUAUAUCCACAUCUUCCGCGGUAGCCGCCGGAAUAUCCCCUGAAAAUCCAAUUUAAACAUAAUCUCUCAUCAGAACAAAAGUAAUUUUCACGUGCUUCACCAGCAUUCAACAAAAAAAAAAAAAAAAAAAAGAGUGAGAAAUACGAUCAGAUUACAAUUACGGAUAGAAUAGAGUAUGCUAAUCAUCUACUGACGUACCGAUGAUUUCUUCAGUAGCCGGAUUGAUUAUCGGAAUCCGGUUCUUCUUGACCGGUUCUCUCCAUUCUCCGCCGAUGUACAGCUGUCGACGUGAGAUUGGUACAUUACGAUUUGCCAUAACUCGAUACAAUCACCUCACAGUUUAAGACUCUUACGUAGAGAAAACUAAUCUACGUUACCGCCAAAAAAUGGCGCAGGGAGUAAUUAGAUCAGUGAUUUUUGUUCUUAUAAAAGCCACUAUAUAAAGAAAUGAGCAUACAAAGAAGUCGAAAGGAUUUAACAUCUACAAUUUUAACCUAUAUAUAAGUAAUUUUAGGGUUCUGAUGAAGAUGUUCCACGACCUAAUAUUUGUGUGAUUAUGAAAUUUUUUUCAUUUAAAAGUAAAAUGUUGAUUUUAAUUCAAAUUAUAAUUCAAAUGAAGAAAUGCAUAAUUAUUUUUGGAAUAAAUUGAUAAGAAAAUAAUAUUACUAUUUUUUUUGAGAGAAAUCCUCAAAUGAAUGAAAGUGGAAAAAGAAGAAAAUAUAGCUCCAAAGUGGAAAUUGUGCUUUAUUGGAUAAUGUAUGAUUAGUAACAUCACUUAUCCAUCUUUUUCAUGUGUUAGCGUGGGUUAGAGUCUACAUUGAUUUGAGAUAAUGGACUAUGGUUUGAAAUUAAUUCUCAUUUUAUGAGUUAGUAUUUGACUCAUAUGUUAUAUUAUUACAUAUUACUAAAGUCAGAUUCAUUCAUGCAUUCAUAUGAGUGUCAAUAAUGCUUAGGUUUCUUGAUAUUUCUUUUGUUACGUAGAAACUAAGACAAUCAUAAAUAUUUGCGUUCAUACUUAAUAUUUACGUCAAAUCAAAAAUAUAAUCUUAAUAAAUAAUAUGAUAAUACAUACUAUAAUUGAGCAAUAGAUUUAUGUAUAAAACUAUAAAUAUUAUAUAUUUAUUAAAUUAAUAUAAAUAUCGAAUAUGAGUAAUUUUAACGCGAAAGAUGUUAAUAGUAAAGGGAUCUAAGGCAAUGGUGGUGGUGGGGGGGGCCUAACCAGAUAAGAUGACAAUGAAGUACUCAUCACUUGUUGACAUUUCAGUUUUUUUGUUUUUUGACAAUAACAUAAAGAUAUGCUUCUCAGUUCUCACUUAAAUCAACAUUGAAUUUAUAUUACUUCAUAAAUUUUAUUUCAAUCAUGGUAUUCAAUUGUUUUUGUAGGUUGUAUACUUAAAAAUCAUUAGUAAUGGUUUCGUUUUUUGAAUUGUUAUACUUAACCUAGAUAUGCCUUAUAUACUUCAUCUUUUAUGAUUUAUCAGGUUGGAUUAAUUAGUGAUGAUUUCUGAUACUGAUUGAAAAAAAUGUAAUUAAAGAAAAUCGAUCAUGAGAAAAUUAAAACGAACAACACAAUAACAAGACAUAUAAAGUAAACCAAGUAGCAAGUGGUUGUGAAAAUUGAAGUAAUUUUAUUACUUCAUAAAACAAUACUCCAUAAUUUUAUUUUAAUUUAUAUGUUUUACUUUUUUAAUCCUUUUUAAAAAGGGUGUUUCUUCCUCACAAUUUUCGGCAAUUUAUUGAUUUAAAUUUUUUCACAUGACAUGUUUAAAAUCAUAAAAUUAAAUAAUAUUUUCUACAUAUUUUUAGUUUAAUAUCACAACAAUCAAAAUUCUACUUUAAUUUUCUAAAACUAUAUAACAAAUCAAAACUAAAAAAAUAAAUUGAAACCAAGAUCGUACUACUAAUAGAAUGGACUAAUAUGUAUAGGAUCUAUCUAUAGAAUUAAUUGGGUUGGCAUUAAUUUGUUGACCUAGCUCGAUCAAAUUUGUGUAUUCAUACCUAAAUUUGACCAACUUAUUAAUGUUAACAUAAUGAGAAAAUACUUAAAUAAUAAAAGUAUGUUUUUUCUAACAAAAAAUCUCACUACCAUUCAAAAUUAAAAAGAAUCUCCACAUGCUUGGUCAUGGAAAAAAAAUCAAACCCCCACAUAAGGAGCGUAUAGUAAUUAAAUAAAAAUAUCAAACCCGCACGUAAGGAGCGUAUAGUUUAUCUUUUGACUUUGCUGGAUUAUUAGUCUCCAUGAAUUGAUUUAUUCAUUUACUAUUAAAGGUGAUAUUUUAUUUUCUUGCAUCAAAAUUUAGGCUUUUGACUACUAGAGAACAACCAGACGCUACUCUUGGAUAUUAUUUAUCUCAUGUCUAAGGUGAACCCAUUAAUCAUCAUACAGUUUUUGUUUUUGGUUUCUCAUUCAACGUUUGAUAUUUAUAUUAGAGUUUGAUUAAAUUUAGAUUUGUGUUAGAAAGUUCACUCUAAUACAUAAAGUGCUCCCUAAUAAUAAUGACUCUAUACCCAAAGAAACUUGAACUCGAGACCUCCGAACCCAUUAUAGUUAUACCACAAAAACUAGGUUCUUUUGCAGUGACUCAAUUAGUCGCCACAAAAGCAAAGGAUUUUAGGAUUUUGUGACAAUUAUAUGCGCAUUCGAGUGACUACAAUAGCCACAAGUAGCGUUAUUUUUCAUAUUUUUGAAAAAUUAACAAUUUCACAAUUAGAAUAGACAAAUAUUAAAUUAAUUAGUCAAUUCAAAUAGAAGAAACCCAACUAUAUAGUGAUAAUUAAUAUUUUUUUUCUUAUUGAAUAUAAUUGUAGUUUAAUUAAUUACUUAUUCCAGGGAAAGAAAAGUUUACAACUAGUUUCAGAUCUCAUACACGUUUCUUCAUCUAGAAUUUGCCAAAUAUAAAAAUGUCCAAUAGGAUCACAAUUAUCCUUAUCUCUAUCAAAGUUAAAUAACUCAAAAUGGACAUGUUUUUUUGAUAAAACAAUUAAAUCUAUAUCACAAGUGAGUUUGUUAUCUCCUUUGGGAAUUAUAGGAAUAUCGAUGUAAUUGAGAUCACUUCCGGGAAUUAAUUUACUUUGGAACACAUCUUCUCCUCUCAAAAAACAAUCGAUUACUGCUAUUUUUUAAGCUUUAUUUUCAAUACCAACUGAAUAUAUGAAUUGUGAACUAACUGAACAUGAGAAAAUAAGUAGGAGACAUGUAUUGAUAUUGUAUAGAUAAUUAUGCUAUGUAUCAAUACUGUAUAAAUGGUGUAUAAGUAUGUAUCAAUAUUAUAUAUAUAUCGAUAUUGUAUAAAUAAUGUAUAAUUGUGUAUCAAUAUUAUAUAAAUAAUUAUGUAUUGUAUAAUAUCAAUAAUUAUUUGACUAUCAUACAUUCCCACCUUAAUAAAUAAAAGAAUAAAUAAAACAUAAUAAAUCUACACAAUUUUUUAUUUUUUUUAAAUAGCACGGCAAAAAAAACAGAAAUAAAGAUUUUUUUUAAAAAAACAAGGAAAAUGGCCAAAUUUACAUUCCCAGUUGUAAACCAAAUAGACGAGCGACUAUAUUUGGUACAAAAAAUGGCAAAUUGGACAUUUUUAAUAAAAUAAAAAAAAGGUGAAUUAUUUUUUGUGUAAGUGAAUUGUUUUUUUAAUCCAAUGAACAUUUUGCAUGAUUUUUCCAAUAUAAAAAUAAAAGUAAGAAAAUGGGUGUCUUGAGCCCAAAUAAUUCGUCUAAAACCUUUCAAUUUAUCAGGUUUAUAUAUAUAUAACUAGACUCAUAUUUACGAAAUGUAGAAAAAAAAAAACAAUUCACAAAAUACAACAGAAUAUCUUUCAUAAAAUAUAUAUAAAUUUCACUAGGACUUAAAUGUUUCGCUCAAAGGCAUAAAAAAUUCUAUCAAUAUUUUGUGUAUGAAAAUAGAAUAAAAUUAAGAUAUGUAUAUCUUGCUCAAAACUUAAAACUUUGCUCACAUUUUGUGUAUAAAAUUUAUUAUGAAAUAUCUAUAUCUCUCUUGAGGCUUAGAAUUUCGCUCACAAUUUUCUUAUAUGAAAACUGUAUAGAAUGAUAGAAUAGGAGAGAAAAAAUUGUAUAACUAUUGUAUAAAUUUAAUAUAACUACAACACACAUGUAAAAGUUCUAUAUGAAAUAAAUCGAGAUUAACCAUAUCUUUUCCACUUAAAAAACAAUGGACUUCCGCUGUUAUUGAAGCUAUAUUUUUAAUAUCAACCCUGUACGAUAUUUGUGAAUUGAGUAAACAUGAGAAAAUAAGUGAGAAGCAUACUAUGAAUAAUGGGGAAGACAUGAUGGCUUUUUCUUGUUUUUGUGUGAGUGUUUGUGUUGAUGUGACAAUUUAUAACAAAUGUUCUCAUGUUACUUGAGAUUCAUGUAAUAUGAUUUUAUUUUAUUUUUGUCUUUGCAGAGAAUGAAGUUUUAUUGAUAAGUCUAUAUUAAAUUUGAAUUAAAUGUCAUAUUCAUGAUAUGUUAAGUAAGUUAAAUUAUUGAUAAAUAAAAUUGGAUUAAUGUACAAAAACUAAGUUAUUGUCCUAUCGGGAACAACAAAAUCCUCUUAAGUCUUAAACUCAGACACGCGUCCAAUGAUUUAUAUUAUAUCCCAAAGACAUUAAUUACCACAAUUGAGUUUAAUAUAUAAUUAGAUUACUUAAAAAUAAUUAAUUUUAAUGUAUUCACUUGUAAUUUUUUUUUAUAUAACAAUUCUCUCUUUAUAUUACUAUAUAUAAUAAGUGGGAAUAUCUACUACUUAGCACAUGACAAGUGUUGGAUGAUAUGUGCUUUGAUAGUGUUGUACAUUCUUCUUUUAUGGUUGUACCUUUAAAAUUUAUAUUAUUGAACAAUUUAACAUCAUUAAUUACCUACUACUUUAUUAGCCGAAAAGAUAGACCUCAUUUGGGCCCAUUUAUUAUUUAUAUGUUUUCAAUUUUCAAUAUAUGUUGUCUAUCUUAUUAUUUUUUUCAACCUUUUAUUUUUAAACUUCUUGAAAUUUAAUUACCUAUUUAUUACUCUCUCUAUACACUUUUUAAUUGUUAUGAUUUUCCUUUUUUAGAGUCAAACUAUAAGAAUUUUAACUAAUAUUUUACAAUGUGUUUUUUCAUCAUAUUCAUAUGCAACAAAUUACAAUUUAUAGUACUUUAGUAUAGAUUUUACAUAUUUAAAUUUUUUGUUUAAAAUAUCAAAUUAAUACAAUCUAAUUUAACUUUGAAAAUUAUUAUAUUACUACUAUUAAUAAGAGUGAAUGUGAGGAGCUUCCCGUUUAUGGGACUUGACAAAAAAAUCCUCAGAUGUUAUUUUUGUAAUUUCACAUGAAAAAUGUAAUUCAAUUGGUUAGUUAAAGGAGUAGUGCAGCUGCAUUUCAUUUUUUGUAUCUAUUGGACUAAUUUGUCCCCUUAAAACUACAAAUAAUUCGCACAACUUUCUGAAAACAUGAGCCCCACUUAUUACUACUUAGUUGUAUUGCUUUGGUGACUGAUAUCAACUAUUCUCUCACCAAUAAUAUUUCUCCAGUAUUGACUUUAUACAUUUUUUAAGAAAUUAUAAAUAAAAGAGUAAUAUUACUAUAUCAUUCUUUAAAUAUAAUAAAUAUAAUGUAUUAAAAAAUAUAAUUGAAAAAUGACUAUAAUUAAUGAUAAGGGGUAAACUAUCCAUUGAUUUCAUAAAGUGGACAAGUAUUGUAGGACAUUCCAAAAUAGUAUAAUAGACAAUAAUUAUUGGACGGAUGGAGUAGGAUUAAGUCUUUCUUUCAGUACUUUUCUCACAUUAAUUAAUUUCUCUCAGCAUUCAAUUAGUGAAUCUUUAGUAGAAUUAAUUAGAAUACUUUUUACUUAAUAAUACGCACAAUAAGCAAUAAGAGGAAGCUUUCGUUGGUCUGUUCUUUUAAGGGUAUGUUGCUAAACCAUCAACACUGAAAGGUAGCUCUACUGAUAAUUGUGAAGAAAGCAUAUUAAUGGAUUAAAAAUCAAAAAGAGGUAAUUAAACCCUAAAAUAUUAUAAAGACAUCUAUAAAAUUUGGUUGAAGCUCAAAAUCUAUUAGUGCCAUAUAAAUUAGGAUAGAGGAAAUAACAUAUAUUAUUUGAAAUAACAUGAAACGUACUACAAAUCACACAAUAAUUAGCAACUUCAAAAUUUAAAGGACAUACAAAAAAUUUGAUCAACUCUCAAAAUUCUACUAAUGUCACAUAGUUUGGGAUAGAAAAAGUAACAUAUACGUAAAAUGUACUAUAACUCAUAAUAAUUAAAUAACUUCAAAAUCUAAAAGACAUAUACAAAAUUUGCUUGACUUUCGAAAUUCUAUCAAUGACACAUAAAUUGGGACAAAGAAAAUAUUGAAAAUUACAUAUAAAGUAUUAUUAACCACAAUAAUCAACAACUUAAAAUUUAAAGAACAUACAAAAAAAUUGUUUGACCGUUAAAAUUUUAUUAAUGUCACAUAAAUUAAAAUAAAAAAUAAAAAUAUAUGUUGGGCCCGUGCUAGCACGGGCUACUGUAACUAGUAUAUAUAUAUACUUAAAUCCUUGACAGAAUAAUCCUUCAUUAUGGACAGCUAAUAUAUAUCCAAAGCCUGCCUGGCCCCUGCUACCACUAGUAAUAUUCAAAAACACAUUUCUCCUUAAUUUAUUUUUUUUAUUUUGUUUUAAUUAGUUAAAACAAAUCUUAUUUUUUUUAAUUUUUCACAUGGUAUUGAAUCCAUAAGAUUAAAAAAUAUUUUUGGUUUAGGAUUUUAUUUUUUAAACUACAUGCUAAAUAGAAUAGACUUAUAUUGUAUAGGAUUAGGAUCUAUAUAUAGGAUUGGGUUGACAUUAAUAUAGUUGACCUAGGUCGAUCGAGUUUGUGUACUCACACCUAAAUUUGACUAACUUAUUAAUGUAAUGUAAUUACGUAAAUCUAUAAAUUAUGCGAUCAUAUAAUAAAACUUUAUCUUUUGACCUUGUUGGACUAUUAAUCGCCAUGAAUGAUUUAUUCAUUUAUUUUUAAAUAUGAGAUUUUAUUUUAUUUUCUUGCAUCAAUGUUUAGGCUUUAACUAUUAAUUAGGGAACAACCAGGAUUUUAUUCAUCUCAGGUCUAAGGUGAACCCAUUCUAUAGUUUAUUUGUUUUUUUUUGGUUUCUCAUUCGAUAUUUGAUAUUUAUAUUAAAGUCUGACUAAAUUUAGAUUCGUGUUGGCAAGCCCACUCCGAGAAAUAAAGUGAUCCCUAACAAUGAUAAUUUUGUAUUCAAGGAGACUUAAAUCCGAGACCUUCCGAACUCAUUAUAGUUAUACUACAAAAAUUAUGUUCUUUUGUGGUGACUCAUUUAGUCGCCACAAAAGGUUGAUUCUAGUUGUAGUGUUAUUUCUUAUAUUUUUGAAAAAUUAAUGAUUCCGCGAUUUGAAUGUAUAUAUCAAAUAUUAAAUUAAUUAGUCAAUUCAAAUAGAAAAACUCAACUAUGUAUUGAUAAUUAAUAUUUUUUCUUCAUGAAUAUAAUUGUAGUUUUAUCAAUUACUUAUUCCACAGGAAAAAAACCUUACAACUAGUUCCAAAUCCCAUACAGAUUCCUUCAUCUUGAAUUUCCCAAUUACAAAAAUGUCCAUCAUCACAAUUAUUUUUAUCUCUAUCGAAGUUAAAUAACUCAAAAUGAACAUGUUUUGUUGAUAAAACAACUAAAUCUACAUCACAAGUGAGUUUGUUGUCUCCCUUGGGAAUUAUAGGAAUAUCGAUGUAAUUUGGACCAUUUCCGCGAAUUAUUUGACUUUGCAACACAACUUCUCCUCUCAAUAAACAAUAGAUUACUGCUAUUUUUGAAGUUUUAUUUUCGAUAUCAACCUUAUAUAAGAUGGGAUUUGAACUAAUCGGACAUGAGAACAUAAGUAGGAAACAUGCUGUAAAUAAUGGGGAGGUCAUGAGUUUUUUUUCCAUUUUUGAUGUGUGUGUCUUUUUUUAUGUUGAUAGGACUCUAAUUUAUAAUAGUAAUUAUUACAAAAAUUUAAUUACUUCUCAUCUUCUAUAUAUAAUAAAAAUAUAAGUCAUUGAAUCUAGUCCAACAAUUACAACAAGUAAUUCUAUUUACAGAAAAAGGCAAAUUUCAUUAAUAUACAGAAAAACAAAAAAUUACAAAAAAAAAAAGUAAUUUUAUUUACAGAAAAAAUAGUCAAAAAGGAUCAUGCACUUUUACAAAAAAAAUAAGUAAUUCUAUUUUUUUUUUCAGCGUUCGUUAUUUUUAAAAAAAAGUGUUUCUUUUAAUUAUUUUAUUUUAAUUUAAUUUAUUUGUCUUAUUUUUCUUUUUAAUCCGCUUCAAAAAGAAUGUUUCUUUUUCUUCUUGUUUUUUGGAUAACUCAGUAAUUCAAUUUUUCCACAUGACAUGUAUAAUAUACAACAAAAUUAAAGUACAUUUCGUUACAUUCAACAUUAUCUUUAGUUUAAAAUCACAACAAUAGAAAAUCUUCUUUAAUUUCUUAAUAAUAACUCUCUCUCUAUUUAUAUAUAUAUAUAUUAAAGAAGGUGAUGUUGUGCUUAAAGAGAUGAUCGAGAAACCAGGUGUACGAGAUGUUGAGCCAAUGGAAAAAGUGCUUAAUUGGACUUCCACUCCGCUCUUGAUUCCUCGCUCAUCCUGAUAGACAGAGAUGAAUUCUAUGCCAUUUCAAAAAUCUGUGGUAGUCCGAAGGAGGCCUGGAACCCACCUUUUGUGUCUUUUUACCUAAUUAUCUUUCAAUUUCCUUCGUAAUGGUUUGAAAAAAUCAAAAUGGCCCAUGGUCAUGGCCAAAGUUCGUAUAUCCUUAUUUUCAAUGAAAGCUACCUCUAUUGUGAAAAAUUUAUUUCACUUGCUUUAAUUCUUCUAUCUAAAAGUCUUUAUUUCAGUAAAAAUGAUUUUAAAUCUAUCAACAUCAAGUCAUAUCACAAGCCGAAUGAACAAAUGAGGUAGAUGACAAUGUGUUCUAAGAGUAUGAUGAGAAAAUCAUGAUAUCCAAAUACAUUGCCAACGCAUUGAAACGGUUCGAGAAUCAACAUAAGUCGAAUCUAGAUGAUAUAGAAACUGUGAAUCUAGAAAAAAGAUAAAUGUGUCAAUCAAACACGAAUCAACGUCUACCUGACUAAAGCUUAGAAAAGAGAACUCAACGAUUUACAUAGACAAAACAUCGAUACAUUUGAUUGAUUACAUGUCACGGUUGGGCGUAGAUAUUUAUCUCACGAGUCGUCAGUCGACUCAGGUACUGUCAAAAGAUACUAUGUUUGAAGGCUCAUAGUUUCUUUUAUUUCUUUCCUUGUAAUCACAUAAUUUGCAUGUAAUAAUAUAUGCUUUAUAGUUAGAAAAUUAUCCUUUGUAAUGAACUACGUCUGACCUAAAUUCUCAAGAAUGAGAUACGUAGGCGGCNNNUAUAUAUAUAUAUUGAUCAUUUGCAAACUAAAUCACUUAAAGAAAAUAAAUUAAAACAGAGAGAAUAUUGUUGUUAGUAUAGAUUUAUAAGUUAUAUGUAUAAGAUCUAUACAUAGGAUUGGGUUCGAUUAAUAUAGUUGACCUAGCUCAAUUGGAUAUGUGUAUUCACACCCAAAUUUGACUAACUUAUUAAUGUUACAUAAAUUUAUAAAUUAUAGGGUCAUAUAAUUAAAUUUUAUCUUUUGACCUUGUUGGAUUAUUAAUAGCCGUGAAUGAUUUAUUCAUUUGUUUUUAAAUAUGAUAUUUUAUUUUAUUUUCUUGCAUCAAUGUUUAGGCUUUAACUAUAUAUUAACUAGGGAACAACCAGCAGGAUAUUAUUCAUCUCAUGUCUAAGGUGAACCCAUUUUGUAGUUUGUGUGUUUUAUGGUUUCUCAUUUGAUAUUCGAUAUCUAUAUUAAAGUCUAAUUAAAUUUAGAUUUGUGUUGAAAAGCCGUAUCUAAAAAAUAAAUUAAAGUACUUCAUGACAAUGAUAAUUUUGUAUUCAAGGGGACUUGAACUCGAGACCUCCGAUCUCAUUAUAGUUAUACUACAAAAACUACGUUAUUUUAUGGUAACUCAUUUAGUCGCCACAAUAGGCUGAUUCUGAUUGUAGUGUUAUUUCUUAUAUUUUUGAAAAAUUAAUGAUUCCGCGAUUUGAAUAUAUAUAUAUAUAUAUAUAUCAAAUAUUAAAUUAAUUAGUCAAUUCAAAUAGAAAAACUCAACUAUAUAUAUAGUAAUAAUUAAUAUUUUUUUUCUUAUUGAAUAUAAUUGUAGUUUAAUCAAUUACUCAUUCCACAUGAAGAAAAGCUUACAAUCAGUUCCAGAUCCCAUACACAUUCCUUCAUCUUGAAUUUCCCAAAUACAAAAAUGUCCAUCAUCACAAUUAUUUUUAUCUCUAUCAAAGUUAAAUAUCUCAAAAUGGACAUGUAAUUUUCCUAAAACAAUUAAAUCUAUAUCACAAGUGAUUUUGUUAUCUCCUUUGGGAAUUAUAGGAAUAUCGAUGUAAUUUGGACCACUUCCAGGACUUAAUAUACUUUUGAACACAUUUUUUCUCAAAAGACAAUAGAUUACUGCUGUUUUUGAAGCUUUAUUUUCGAUAUUAACCGUAUAUAAGAUGAAAUUUGAACUAACUGAACAUGAAAAAAUAAGUAGGAAACACGUUAUAAAUAAUGAGGAAGUCAUGAGUUUUUUUUCAUUUUCGAUGUGUGUAUUUUGUUUGUGUUGAUGCAACUCUAAUUUAUAAUUGUAAUUAUUACAAAAGUUUAAUUACUUCUUAUCUUCUAUAUAUAAUAAAAAUAUAAGUCAUCGAAUCUAGUCCAACAAUUACAAAAAGUAAUUCUAUUUACAGAAAAAGUCAAAUUUCACUAAUAUACAGAAAAACAAAAAAAAUACAAAAAAAUAACUAUUUAGAGAAAAAAUAGUCAAAACGGAUCAUAGGGUCAACAGAACUUAAAUCGGCCCAAGACCUUUAGGCCAUUUUGCUUCCCUUUUUUUUUACCAGUGUUCGUUAUUUAUUUUUUUUUAAAAAGUGUUUUUUUAAAAUAAAAAAGUAUUUUUUUAAAAAAAAUAAACUUUUUCCAUGUAUCAAUAAUUCAAUAUAGUAUAAAUCUGUACAAAACGUGUAUUGCUAUUGUAUAGAUAGUUAUAUAGUGUAUUGAUACAUAAAUGGUGUAAAUGUGUAUCAUUAUGAGAUAAAUAGUAUAUAAACUAGUAUCGAGAUUAUAUAAACAAUUAUGUAAUGUAUUUAUAUCAUGUUUAUCUGACUAUCAUGUAUUUUCACUUUAAUAAAUAAAUGAAUAAACAAAAAAUGGUAAAACAACAUAAAUAUUCGUUGUUUCCGCAAAAAAAGUGAAACAAUUAGAAAAGGAACCAAAUCAAACCAAACGCAAAUAAAAUCUGUUUACUUAAUCGAUUUUUAUUCAAACUGUGAACACCCUUCAUUGUUUUAUUUUAAUUUAAUUUAUUUUUCUUACUUCUCUUUUUAAUCCAUUUCAAAAAGAAUGUUUCUUUCUCUUCUUUUUUUUCUUUUUUUUUGGAUAACUCAGUAAUUCAAAUUUUACACGCGACAUGUAUAAUUUACCACAAAAUUGAAGUACAUUACAUUCAACAUUAUCUUUAAUUUAAAAUCAUAACAAUUAAAAUCUUCUUUAAUUUCUUAAUAACAAGUUUAUAUAUAUAUAUAUAUAUAUUUUGCAAGUUAAAUCACUUUUAAAAAAAAUUAAAGCAGAAAGAAUACUACUAUUAGUACGGACUUAUAAGUUAUAUGUAUAGGAUCUAUACAUAAGAUUGAGUUGGCAUUAAUAAAGUUGACCUAGCUCAAUUGAGUUUGUAUAUUCAGUUGUUCACACUUAAAUUUGACUAACAUAUUAAGGUUACAUAAAUCUAUAGACUAACUUAUUAAGGUUACAUAAAUCUAUAGAUUAUAGGAUCAUAUAAUUAAAAUUUAUCUUUUGACUUGCUGGAUUACUAAUCGCCAUGAAUUGAUUUAUUCCUUUAUUUUUUAAUACGAGCUUUUAUUUUAUUUUAUUGCAUCAAUGAGUAGGCUUUAACUUAUUAGAGCACAACCAGACACUACUCUUGGAUAUUAUUCAUCUCAUGUCUAAGGCCAACCAAUUAUAUAGUUUCUGUUUUUUUGGUUUCUCAUUCAGAGUUUGGUAUAUAUACUAAAGUCCGAUUAAAUUUAAAUGUGUUGAAAAGUCCAUUCUUGGAAAUAAAACGCUCCCUUAUAACAAUGAUGAAUAUGUACCCAAAGAGAGACCUCUGAACCCAUCAUAAUUAUACUACAAAAACUACGUUCUUUUGUGAUGACUCAUCUAAUCACCACAAGAGUAAAGGAUUUUAGGGUUUUGUGGCAAUUAUAUGCGCGUUUGAGUGACUUAAAUCGCCACAAAAGGUUGAUUUUGGUUAUAGUGUUAUUUCUUGUAUUUUUGAAAGAAGAAAAAAAACGAUUUCGUAAUUAGAAUUAACAUACAUAAUUCAAAUAGAAAAACUCAACUAUAUAGUGAUAAAAAAAAAAUUCUUAUUGAAUAUAAUUGUAGAUUAUUCAAUUACUUAUUCCACUCUAAGAAAAGCUUACAAUUAGUUCCAGAUCCCAUACACAUUCCUCCAUUUUGAAUUUCCCAACGACAAAAAUGUCCAACAGCUUCACAAUUACCCUUAUCUCUAUCAAAAUUAAAUAACUCAAAAUGACCAUGUUUUUUUAAUAAAACAAUUAAAUCUACAUCACAAGUGAGUGUGUUAUCUCCUUUGGGAAUUAUGGGAAUAUCGAUGUAAUUUGGACCACUUCCAGGAAUUAAUUUACUUUGGAAAACAUUUUUUCCUCUCAAAAAACAAUGAAUUACUGCUGCUUCUGAAGCUUUGUUUUCGAUAUUAACCGAGUAUAAAAUGAUUUGUGAACUAACUGAACACGAGAAAAUAAGUAGGAAACAUAUUAUAAAUAAUGGGGAAGUCAUGACUCAUGAGGUUUUUGUUUCUUUUUUGUGUUGUUGUGAGUCUAAUUUAUAGUAGUAAUUAUUCUCAUGUUACUUAAGAUUUAUGUAAUAAGAGAUUUACAAAAGUUUAAUUACUUAGCAUCUAUAAUAAAAAUAUAAGUCAUCAAAUCUAGUCAAAGAAUUGACAAAUUGGACAGUCAAUAACACUUGAUAAAAAGCCAAAAUAUUAAAGGGGAAAUUUCAUUAAUAUACAAAAAAAUAAAAAGUUUACAAAAGAAUUAGCCAAUUUUCUAUUUACAGAAAAAUAGCUAAAAAGGGUCAUGGGCUCAACGGAGCUUAAAUCGGCCCAAGACCAUUAGGUCAUUUUUUUUUUUGUAGCGUUAGUUAAUAAUUAUUUUUUUUAGAAAAAAAAACUUAUUUUGUUAUUGUUUUUCAUAAAAACCUUUUUUUUAAAAUUUUAAAAAAAAUCCACGCAAUUAUCAAUAUUGUAUAAAUGUAUAUAAACGUGUAUUGAUAUUGUAUACAUACUGGUUAUGUAAUGUAUCAAUAUUGCAUAAAUAGUGUAUAAAUGUGUGUGUUUAUAUAUAUAUAUGUUACGAUAAAUAUUAUAUGAUGCCUUGUAUUUCAUAACCGACAAAAUUUUGAUAAUAUUUAUUAGAAUAAAGUCAUAAACAAAUUUGUAUCAAUAGCUUAUUUUGCAGUAUGCAACUAAUUGUGUUUUAAUAUACCUAUCAUUUUUAUGCGAUUUAAGUUUUAAUAAAACAUGAUAUAAUGCAAUAUAGUUUAACUUCUAUGCACUAAAAGUGUAAAAAGUAUACAAGUAAAUCUAUUGAUAUGUUUUAAUUGGUAAUCUGGUAAAAAUGAUAACUACCAUGCUAUCGCAUAUUCUGUAACAAUAGCAUGCAAGUGUUUAAUUUGUGUCUAAUUUUCCAUGAUAAAAGAAUUUGUUGCUAAAUGAAUGGUAGAAAACGAAAGACAAGAAGAUGAAUUAAUAUUUUCAGAAAACAUGUGAGGAAUUAUUGAGUUCCAAGGCAAAGGUCUUUAAAUAGGCAUGCAGGAUUUUUGGGCUGUUCCAAUCCCUUAACCACAUAAAGUAUGAUAUCCACUAACAGAAGAAAAAAUCCAUACAAAUAAAUCACUCAAUUAUCUUUCUUUUCCCCUUAUCAGCAAGGGCAACAUUCUUGUUCUCCAAGAAACGAAUUCUCCUAUUGACAGCAACAAGCUUUGAUUCAACUAUCGUCAGAAGAUCUUUCUCUCCUUGUUCUUCUUCUGGUUCUGGUAUUGGUGUUGAUGAUUCCUUGUGCUUUUUUUCGGGUUUCAAAUUUUGAGAGUAGAGAUCAAGAACUUCUUUACAGGCAUCUAAAUUGUCAGGCCAAGUUUGCAGUUCCCCAUUAGGACCAGUAAUAACAGUACAAACCUUGAUAUCGCAGAGAGUUGCAAGCUCCAUCGAUUUCCUCUUUAUGCAUUCUUUCCUCACCUGAUAAGACUUAGGAUUGUUUGUUUUCUUCUUGCUUUGAUCUUCAUCUGCCAUAGCUUGAUUCGAGGUAGAGUCUGUCAUAUAGCUUGAUUCGAUGUAGAGUCCUGAGAAGAAUGAGUACGUAUAUAUAUAUAUGUGUUUUGUCAAGGUAAUAGGAGACUUUAUUCAAUAACUCUUGUAAUUCUUAUACAUUGAAUAUAUCUCUCUACAUUCAAUGUAUCUCUCACUACAUUGAAAAUAUGUAAUAAGGCAUCCUUAUUUAUAAUACUAACAACCAAAGUAAAAUAGGACUUGAAACCUAUAAAACUAACAAAUUCUAAUUAAACUAAAUAAGGAAAUACCAUAAAUAAUAAAUCUUAAACAAGUAAGGAAUUCUAAACUAUUAAGGAAUCCUAAACUACUUAGGAAUCUUAAUCUUGAUUUAUUUCCUACCUUAUUUAAAUUAUAAUUAGUAUUCCUAAUUUGAAUAGUAAGGAAUUCUAAACGGGCAUGUUAUUAAACAUUGGAAUAAUUGGUUACGGUAUAAAGAGGAGGGAGGAUUGUUGAAGUUAGUAAUAGUAAGAACUGUGAUAUAUCCAUUGAGGUAUCCAAAAUAUAGUUAAUACGAGAAAUUAUAAAAUUAGCUCGUGAAAUUAUAAGUUAUUCAAUUCAUUUAAGUUUGGAUUGAUGAUUAACUCGUUUAUUUAUUUUUAAAAUGUUAUAAUAAAAAUAGUUAUUUAAAAUGUGCCACGUUAAUUGAAAGGUAUAUACAAAAACUAAAUUGUUGUUCAGACGGAAACAAUAAAAUCCUCUUAAGUCUUAAACUCAGAUGCAUUAUGCUAUGUCUCGAAGGCAUCAAUAACCACAACCGAGUUAAACAUAUAGUCAGAUUACUUCAAAAUAAUUAAUUUUAAAUAAUCCUGUUUAAUGUGUAUACACUUGUAAUUAAAUCACUGUGACAGAAUAAUCUUUCAUUAUGGACAGCUAAUUUUAUCAAAACCCUGCCUGGCCCCUACUACCACUAGUAUACAAAAACAUAUUUCCCCUUAAUUUGUUUAAUUUAUUUAGUUCGUUUAAUAAAUAUAUUUUUUCAAACUCUGUAAUCAAAAGAUAUUUUUAAUUUAAGAUUAUAAAAUCUAAAAUCUACUUUAUUUUCUCAAACUUGGUGAUAAUUAAAUUAUUAGUCAAACAAAUUGAAACGUAAAAAAUAAACAGAGUAUUUAAAUUUUGAGAAUCUUAAUUUAUAAGUAUGAUUUCUUAUUCUGAUUUUAAAUUAUGAAUUUAAUAUUUGUUCUCAACUUUUUUAUUAGACAUAAAGUAUAAUUCAAAAUUCAAACACCAUAAUGUAAAGGUAAUAUAAAGUACUCAAAUUUGAAGGACUCUGUGAGUAGAAAGAGAGUGAGAGAGAGAGAGAGAAAAAAGGUCUCUUUUUUGUUUUGUUUGUUCAUUGAAUUGAGUGGAGAUCUGCAGAGGAAAUGGCAAGUUUUGGAGGGACAACUCAGAAGUGUAAGGCUUGUGAAAAAACUGUUUACUUGGUGGAUCAACUUACUGCUGACAAUAAGGUUUAUCAUAAAGCUUGUUUCAGAUGCCACCAUUGUAAGGGUACACUCAAGGUGAUACACACUAAAAAUCUGAUCUUUUUCUUGUUAAAUGUGCUUUUGUGCUUUUAUCUUGCUUGAUGUUAUAUGUGGUGUACAUUUAUAUGUGAAAUCAAUGUUAUUUCAUACUGUAGAUAGAAUUGUAAUGUUCUAAUUGAUUUCAAGAGAGGAGGGGGCAAGGAAAGCAAGAAGAGGGUAGGGUUUAUGUUGAAUAGUGAAAAAUGGAGGGGUGGUGUCCUUUUAUGGAUUUGGACAAUUCUCCACUUCUUGAGCUAGUUUUUGGAGUUGAGUUAGAUUCAAGAUUCAUUUUUUAUAUGGUAUCAGGACCCAUCCCAAUUAUUGUGUAUGAUGUUGGGUUCCCAUUUUAAGUUGCCCACAUACUAGACCUCUAGCUGUGGGCGUGGGGUGUUGAAGAUUCCCACAUCAGAUGAAAAGGGGAUGGGUGGUCUCUUAUAUGGACUUGCGCAAUCCUCCCCUCGUGAGCUGGCUUUUGGGGGUUGAGUUAGGUCCAAGAUCCAUUUCUUUAUAGUUUUAGUAUUUGAAUCCGCAACAAGAAGUUGCAAGCUUGCAACAAGAACGAUGUCUUACUGUGCUUUGUUAGAAAUGAAUGAUUGGGUUUGGUUGGGAGAUCCAUGAUGCUCUUCUGUUUAUCCCAAAAGAACAGAGAUUUCAAC
rnacentral:lncRNA from 1 species